GUGUUUCCUAAUUUUGAGGCGUCUCAAGAAAAGCCAGGUUAUACGGUCUAUUUUUCUGUGGAAACACAUUUAGCAACAUAGCGGGUGAAUUAUGUAUAUAAUGUAUAUUACGAUGUUAUGAUGAACUAUAUCCCUUUCUCCACUGACGUUCUAAUUCAAAGCAUUUCUAAGAAUGAUUUUUAGAAGGCAGCUAUCUGACUCUGAAUGGGAACAUGGUUUGUGUAACAUUAGCAACACAUUAGCUGUUUGAUAACGUAGUCAAGCCAAAGGCUAAUCAUAUCAAUUGCCGUUAUGUGCCCGACAUAUUACUCUUCCACUGCUUCUGAAUCAGUUACUGGUUUAAACAUAUCUGGCUGAAUUAAACCAGUAUUUCCACUUGCCAUAGUGUAGUGUUUACUACAGUAAAGUUGACCGAUUGGAUCAGGUAGUCACGAGCUGGUGCGAUUGAGUGGAGACGGGGACUAAUUUGCAUAUUCAUGACACCGCGUAUAUACUAAAUGCAAGAAUUUAGUAGUUACAUUCAAGCUAUUUUAAGGCAUAAAUAGAUUAUUUUCAAGGGGAAAACGUUUAAAUAUGUCAUUUUGGUGAUCAAAGAUGAGUUUUAAUUGAUAAAAUUAUUGACUACAAGGGGACUUUAACAACAUAGGCAAUUAACCAUAUAUCUAGAAUUUGAUAAAGUCAACAAAUAGAGUAAACCUUUAGAAUUGAUAAACAUGCAAGUUAUAAACAUAAGCAAACCAUUCCUAGAUUUAAGCAAACAAAACACAGAGCACCUCCUGAUAUGGUCUGAGUUAAUUUCUGCGUAGAAACAUUGUUUAGGCUAUGCUUUGCUCUAAGGAAAGCUCUUUGUUUGCUUUUUCUAAAGAAGCGGGCACUGGAAUGUGAGGGGGUGACUGAAAAAACUGUCCUAAACGAUUCCAUUUUGCGUGAAGAGCAACGGCAGCUCUUAAUUUCUUGUUUACAGCGACAUCUGCUGGUGGACAUUUUAACAUUGGCCAGCACAAUUUCUCAGAUCUGCUGCAUCAUCAAUUGCACGAUCUCAUCUACGACUGACUAAAUUCCCACGGAUGACCAAAUAUAGCCUACGAGUUUUAUGAGGUUCUUUUAGGAGUCUCCACAUCCUUAAUAAUGAGUCUGAAAAUGUGUUUACAAUUAUAGCCCAGCCACAGCCUGCAUGUCAGUUUAAAGCGAUGUAAGGGGUGCCCACUUAUGUUAACAAAGAGGGAAAUAUAGAACAAGACAGUCAGCAGCAGACAGAGGCAAGGUUAAUCGACCUAAGGAGAGUUUUCAAUUGACAUUGGUGCAUGCAGGACCCUGUGACUGCGGUCAUCAUUCGACUGCGGCGGAGCUGCGGCUUCCUCAGCAUCUCCAUCGACUCUCAUCUUUUAGGAGAUUAGAGUGCCUUGACUUGCAAGACGAGGAAACGGCCCGAAUAUAUCGGCUUGAAGUUGUUUAGAGACGAAAAUUGAAGAGGCAAUGAAGUCUUAUACAUCCCUAGCAGCUUGUUUUGUGUUAUUAGCAUGUCUGUCAUGUAUGAUGGGUGUGGCCACUGCAACAAACCCAUACCAAAAACCUGGCUUCUUGGAUAUUGACUCCUGGUUCUGGAACACCCCUCGAGGGCCACAGAUGUUCUCCUGCCUUACCUACAUUGAGAAGAACCUCCGGGUUGACUGUGAAUUCCCAGAGACCCACAAGAUUCCCGGGCCUUUCUGUGAAUUCAAACAGGAUGGGCGACUCAUGGGAUCCACCUACCCAAACACACCAGUCCACAUGAUCCCACCAAUUGAGACCCGACGCAGAGCCAAUGUCUCCCUGGUGUCACCUAACAUUUGUCGCCUCACCUGGAUGCCUAUGUCCGAUGACCGUGCGUACACUUACACCUGCAGGGUUUAUCAGGGCAACACCUGGAAGGAGAACAGCAUGGCAUUCCACCAAAGAAAUCUUCUGAUGUGCUCUGCAUUAAGCAUAUUUUUCCACACUGGACCAUGGAUUCUUGCAGUUGUGAUAUCACUUCCUGUUUCUCUUGGGUUUCUGUCAGAAUGACCAGCACUACAUCGAGCAACCUAAAACUCGAAGCCAUUCUCACAUUUAACUGCCUUUCACAUUUUAAGUUACAUUCAUAUUUACUUAAUUUUUCAUCUUACAUGUUGACUGUUGAUUUUUUUUUUUUUUUUUUUUUUUUUUUGCUUUACAGCCCCAUUUAAGUUUCUGUGGACAUCACUGUCAUUACAACUUCAGGAUUCACUGUGAAAAGCAAACAGAUAUAAUGCAUGUGACCCACUCAAGUAUAUAUGGCCAAAAAUUUGUUUAAAAUUAAGAUAUAAUGUAUAUCUUUAAUUACACUAAUAAUGUAAACUAAUUAAUAAUUGCACUACUGUUCAAAAGUUUAGGGUCAGUAAGGCUAUUUUUAAAAAAUAAAUUAAUAUUUUUAUUCAACAAUGAUGCAUUAAACUGAUCAAAAGUGGCAGUAAAUACAUUUAUAAUGUAAAAAUACUUCAAUAUCAAAUAAAUUCUGUUCUUUUGAACUUUCUAUUUAUUAAAGAAUCCUGGGGGGGAAAAAAAGAACUGUAUUUUCAAAAUUUAUAAGAAAUGUUUCUCAAGCACCAAAUCAGCAUAUUAGAAUGAUUUCCGAAGGACUGGAGUAAUGGCUGUUGGAAAUUCAGCUUUGCCAUCGCAGGAAUAAAUUACAUUUUAAAACAUUUUAACAAAAAACUGUUAUUUUAAAUUAUAAUAAUGAUAUUUUACAAUACUACUGCUUUUACUGUCUCUUUAAUCAAAUAAAUGCAGCCUUACUGAGUGCAAGAGACUUAUUUAAAAAAACAUUUUAAAAAGCUUAAUGACCCAGAACUUUUGAAUGGUGGUGUACAGUGACUUAAAAUAUUUCAAUCUGAACAUUUACAAACAAGAGGUUUGUAAUUAUUGCAAAUGUAAUGACCAUUUACUCUAAGAUUAGUAUUAUUGAUUGCAGCAUGUUUGUCAAUUGCAUUGAAUUCAGAUGAAGGACUGCACCAAAAAGUAUAUGCUGAAGCUGGAGUUGAUCAGGCACUCUGUUAUAAGAAAUAUAUAUUAUUGUUUUAAUAUAUGGCUUAGGACCCUUAUAUAGUGUAAUGUGCUGUUUGUGUUAGUUUCAUUUUCAUGGACAUUUAGUUCGUAUUCACCAGUUACCUGUGUCCUAUUAUCAUUUGUUUCGUUUUUCCCGCCAGUCAUUAGUUUCCAUGGACACUCAUUCAGUAUGAACAUCUGUUCGCCCUUGAGCUCAUUAUCUUUGUAUAUUUAAGUUCCUCUUUGUUUUCAGUUAAUGGUCCAGUAUUGUCAUGUGUUACACACGCUGUCACGUUACCUGUUCAUCGUACUUGGUGUACUUGAGUUUGUUUUAUAUAACAAAAACCUUUGUUUUAGAACCUUUUUUUAUCAUCAUCAUCUGGACUAAAGCGUAACGUACUCAGAGGGGGACAGCCUCUAGAGUAUUUUUACUCUACUCAAGUACAUUUUUUCAAUUAUUUGUACUUUAUCAGAGUGUUUUUCUUUGGAAAACUUUUACUUCACAACAUUCCAAAGCACAAUGUUGUACUUUUCACUGCACUACAUUUCCUAAAUACGUUUCU